GUAUAUGAUCAUACCAACACUAACGGAAUGGAUUCAAUUAAAACUCCGAAGUUAAGAGUGUUUGAGCGAGAGUACUUCUAAGAUGGGUGACCCCUUGUGUAAUCCUCGUGUUGCAUCCC
rnacentral:rRNA from 1 species